rnacentral:rRNA from 1 species
UUUAAUUCGAAGCAACGCGCAGAACCUUACCAACCUUUGACAUGUCCAGUAUGGUCGCCAGAGAUGGCUUCCUUCAGUUCGGCUGGCUGGAACACAGGUGCUGCAUGGCUGUCGUCAGCUCGUGUCGUGAGAUGUUGGGUUAAGUCCCGCAACGAGCGCAACCCUCGCCCUUAGUUGCCAUCAUUCAGUUGGGCACUCUAAGGGGACUGCCGGUGAUAAGCCGCGAGGAAGGUGGGGAUGACGUCAAGUCCUCAUGGCCCUUACAGGUUGGGCUACACACGUGCUACAAUGGCGGUGACAAUGGGCAGCGAACCCGCGAGGGGGAGCUAAUUCCAAAAAGCCGUCUCAGUUCAGAUUGCACUCUGCAACUCGAGUGCAUGAAGGCGGAAUCGCUAGUAAUCGUGGAUCAGCACGCCA